rnacentral:rRNA from 1 species
UACGGAGGGGGCUAGCGUUGUUCGGAAUUACUGGGCGUAAAGCGCACGUAGGCGGCUCUGUAAGUUAGAGGUGAAAGCCCGGGGCUCAACCCCGGAACUGCCUUUAAGACUGCAUCGCUUGAAUCCAGGAGAGGUGAGUGGAAUUCCGAGUGUAGAGGUGAAAUUCGUAGAUAUUCGGAAGAACACCAGUGGCGAAGGCGGCUCACUGGCCUGGUAUUGACGCUGAGGUGCGAAAGCGUGGGGAGCAAACAGG